UACAGGGUACAAAAAGGAAGGGACAAGUGCCCUAGAAGAGGAAGUACCCACUUUCAGGACUGGAGUCUCCUAGGAUGGGCUGAUUUACUUAAAAUCAGGAUGAAUUACAACAAUCACUGAGAGUAUGACCCUGCCUGUGACUUCAGGACUUCUGUGCAUUGUGGAGAGGGCUGUCCCGGAGCAAGAGACCUCACCUGGUCAAGAAGGAGGAAUUUGAUGAUUCUCCUCAAGCAUUAGAGAAAGUUCUAUAAUAUUUACUGAGCCCCGCCUUGGUUCAGGCCUGAGACGAGUUCUGGAUUACCCUGAAGACCAGGAUCAUUUCCUUCUAAGGAGUUUUCAGUCAUUUCUCUUUCUUUGGAAGACAACCUAGCUGGACAGAUUGGGACCCAAAAACCACCUGGACAGGGAAGAUGCCAGAAUAGAAAGAGUUAACAGGACCUAGGUGUGUGGUAGGUGUGCUGGGACAAGGGAAGACAAAGGAAGUGACUUAGCUUCUAUUUGAAAGAGCACUAAGAAAACCCUGAUUCAUGCAGAGAAGCAGUUGCAAAUGAUAUGAGUCUCCAAUAGCUCAUCUGGCAAUCUCGGGAUAAUUCUUCAAUUAAACUGAUGCAGGAGCAUGAAGAGGGAGUAGUUGGGAAAAUUGAGCUUGAAGUCGCAUCUCUUACAGUUUGUAACAGAUUCCCGCAGCCUUUGGACAUAUAUUUUACCAGGCAAAGUCAAAUUCACUGGUUCUUUGUGAAUCUGAGAUUCUCCCAAUUGGCUCAGAUGUACUCAUAUGAUGUUGUGAUUUACAAGACACAAUGUGAUGGGCUCUCUUGUGAAGGAUAAAUUAUAUAUUUGGUCUUCAUCCACAGUUCCUGGUUCACAGCUCCCAAAAGUCAUGGGAUUGCCUAAGUGUUAGAGAUGUCCAUUGUUAUGUUAAUGAGGUCACCUUACACAAGCCUAAGGAUGGUGGCUGGUUUCUAGGAGAACCACCUCUGUGACUGGAGGGGUAAGACUUCCAGUCCCACAUUCCAGAAUUGUGGGGAAGCGAGGGGGGCUGGAUGUUGAGCUCAAUUAUCAACAGCCAAUGAAUUAAUCAUGUCUACUUAAUGAAGCCUCCAUAAAAAUCCAAAAGGAGAGGUUUCAGAGAGCUUUCAUUUUGGUGAGCAUGUGAGAUUUGGGGGAAAUGGUGUGUCUGAAGAGGGCAUGGUAGUGCCGUGUUUCUUCCCUAUACCUUGUGUGGGACAUACAUCUCUUCCAUCUGGCUGUUCCUGAGUUGUAUCCUUUGUAAUA